GAGGUGGAGGCGGUGGCGUGGCUCGUUGGACUAGAGAGCAGAGCUAGUCGUUAAGAGGGGGGGGGUUGGGCGUGGGGUUGCAGAGGAGAUGGAGAGCAGAGCGCGUGAGGGAGAGGGGAGAGAGAGACAAUUGUCUGACAGGUGGGCCCGCUACGGACACGUGUCGAUUACUGUAUGGAUUAUUAUAAAUCCUACGUGGUAUAUUAAAUGCACCUAAUAUUUUCUCG